rnacentral:misc_RNA from 1 species
GAUGAAGAACGUAGCGAAAUGCGAUAAGUAAUGCGAAUUGCAGAAUUCAGUGAAUCAUCGAAUCUUUGAACGCACAUUGCGCCCGGUAGUAUUCUGCCGGGCAUGCCUGUUCGAGCGUCAUUUCAACCAUCAAGCCCCAGCGCUUGUGUUGGGGGCCUGCGGCUGCCGCAGCCCCCUAAAAGCAGUGGCGGGCUCGCCAUCACACCGAGUGCAGUAGUUCAUCUUCUCUCCGGUCUUGUGAGGCGGGUUCCGGCCGUGAAACACCCCACUACAUUCAAGGUUGACCUCGGAUCAGGUAGGAAUACCCGCUGAACUUAAGCAUAUCAAUAAGCGGAGGA